UACAGAGGGGGCAAGCGUUGUUCGGAAUUACUGGGCGUAAAGGGCGCGUAGGCGGCCUUCUAAGUCGAACGUGAAAUCCCCGGGCUCAACCUGGGAAUGGCAUUGGAAACUGGCUGGCUAGAGUGUGGCAGAGGGGGGUGGAAUUCCGCGUGUAGCAGUGAAAUGCGUAGAGAUGCGGAGGAACACCGAUGGCGAAGGCAGCCCCCUGGGCUAGCACGUGACGCUCAGGCACGAAAGCGUGGGGAGCAAACAGG
rnacentral:rRNA from 1 species